rnacentral:rRNA from 1 species
CGAACGGGUGAGUAACGCGUGAGGAACCUGCCCCAAAGAGGGGACAACAGUUGGAAACGACUGCUAAUACCGCAUAAGCCCACGGCUCGGCAUCGAGCAGAGGGAAAAGGAGCAAUCCGCUUUGAGAUGGCCUCGCGUCCGAUUAGCUAGUUGGUGAGGUAACGGCCCACCAAGGCGACGAUCGGUAGCCGGACUGAGAGGUUGAACGGCCACAUUGGGACUGAGACACGGCCCAG